ensembl:lncRNA
AUGAGAGCCAGAGACUGGGGCUGUUUGAUUUUCUCAGGUCUUUCUAAUGUACGUGUCCUGAGGGAGCGGACAGAUGGAGGAGCACUAACAGUUCUUCUUAAUCCCUCAUUCCAAUUCUUCUCCAGCGCUGACUGCACCAUCAGUGACCCAGAGAUGCUCACAUACUGUACUACAGCACUGCUGAACCCAGCACCUGCCAAGACUACCUGCACUGUUGCAAGGUCUGCUUAUUGGCAUUUCGCUUUCCACUUCUUCCAGUCUAGGGCAUCGUCGGGGGCUGUGUUGACUUGUUUCAUAUUUUCUUUUCUUUUUUUUCUCAGUCCAUUCAUCUCUUCUUUGGUCAAACAUGUGGUCGCCAUCCAUCUGGGCUAAGGCACAAUGCUGUCUAUCACUUGAUUCUUCUCCGCUGUGAACGACAUGGCUGUCCCAAUAAAGAUGUGCUUCUUUCAUCUUCUCUAUGAUUGGAGCCAUUCCCAGUACUUUCUGCACGUCUUCAUUCCUGACAUGGUCCAGACUGCUGGUGUUUGGCGGAUGCAGGCCAACACUCUGAACUGUGAAGUGUGACUGACCGUAUGAGGGUCUUGUAAAUCUCUGCUUUAAGAUGGGUGGGAAAUCGCCAAUCUCAUACAGGGUUUCAGUGGGUCUUAAAAAGUCUUACAUUUUGUUGCAUUAAAUUAAAAGCCUUAAAAAGUCUUAAAUGGUAUAAGAAAGUCAAGAGGUCUUAAAUUUGGGGAUGGAAAGACAAGAAUUUAUAAAAGCACCACUUGCUGGCAGAGAAUGAAUGUGCAUUUUCAAUAAGCCCGUCUGCUGUAUUUAUUCAGACCAAAGCAAAAAUCGACCCACACUUUUAUGCGUCAAACAUAUAAAUUUGAACUGGUGGAUCGACAGUAAGCUAAUGCUAAUGCAUUAUAAAAAAUUUAACAAUUAAGACACUGAAGGCCAGAUUUACUAACAGCUUGCACCAGCGCAAACCAUCUUUUGGUGUUAAAAUAGUACUGUAAGGAUUUACUAAAGAUGCGCAGUGAAGAAUUAACACUGACAAAGUGAGGACACAGUUAUUUUUGCGCCGGACCUUAUUGAACAUGCAUUUGUAGGAGUUUCCCUUUCAGACACAAAAUUUAUGGGAGGAGAUUAUUCAAAUGAAUCAUGCAACGUGAUUUACUAAUGUUUGCUCUGGUCAAAUUACUGAUAUUUGCACCAUUAUUUAAUGCCCAAAAAAGCACAUCUUAAACAAUUUUUCGCCUGUGUCGUAAGUAGAUUACCCGAACCUGAUGAUCAUCGGUUCUGCUUAUUUGCGACUACGCUAAUUUGCGCUGUGCUUGGUAUAUUGCGUUGGUCAAUAUGCAAAUGAGAUGUUGUGUCUGUGUUCUUUAAUUUGCGCAUUUUCAGUAAAUCACUAGCAGACAUUUUUACCAGAUGGCAUUGACAUGCACACGUGUGUCUAAAGCCCAAAGUAUACUUAAUUUUUUAUGCAUACGCGAGGGUCAGCAUACAGUGCACAUGAGGUGAAUUUCGUCAUCAGAAUAGUAUGCUAUUUUGAUGACGAAAUUCACAUCUAAUUUUUCUCCAGAAGUUUUGACCAAUAAAAAUAUAUUUGUACUCUUUUAAACCAAAGCUGGGUUAUUUCAUACCGUGUAGUGUGUCUACAGUAUGGGCAUGUAAUAACUUUUGGAGUAAAAAUAGAACAAACA